rnacentral:lncRNA from 1 species
CUCGGUAGAAGUCGAGUGAUUUUUCUAGCACUCACGCGAGGUCAGGAAUUGGUUGUACCCAUUUUUAUAUCGUAAUGAUAAUGGUCUGUGGACAACGAUCCAUGAGGAUGCGUUGUCUACGAGACGGAAAUUGGAAUAAGGAUUAAGGUGUGGUACCGUGUGUCAAGCAUUUGAACGUACUAAACACAUGCCGAGAAAUAUGGUAAAUCGGUAAGCCUAGUACCUGAGUGAACCUGCCCGCAGACUUUACCCCUCACACGACCUGAGACGUGGUCUCCCAUUCCGGUUAUGGUGGGUACAAGUGCGGUCACUGCACGAUGGCAGUCGGGGUCAGUGAGGCAUUGUACGCUAAGGCGGUAAGCCCUGAUCUGUUGACGGGGAAUCGAUGGGGACGGAGUGCCUCGCCACGUCGUGUGUUUAGGUUUACCUAGCAAGGAUAAAAACUCGAUUCGAAUCGUCUGCUUCUCGCAGCUAAUGAGACUGCUUGAUCCAUGCUGCUACAUUGAGUAACAAGUGGAAAGGUGUUGAUUUGCAAAAGACGUUGUUUGAUAAAAAAUGUUCGAUACCAUGUAUGAUUAGCUAGGUACACAACUAGUUUAAAAAGGAUCAUACUAAAAUUUGAAAAUCUAAAACAUGAUUUUAGACUCAGCUAGUGCUUUUGGCAAACCAAACCCCUCAACCAAACAGCUGCAUGUCUAGAGGUAGUGGAGUAGACUCCUCACACCAGGUAAGUCUAGCUAAGUAUUAGUAGACUCAUCCUUGCUUGUGGCAUAAUUUUUUACAGGUUCUCUGGAGGAUAUGGUUGCUGGAGUGACUUGGUCGUUCAACUUGCCACCGGGUUGGACAGUUGAGUGGGACCCUACCUCGGCUGGGGAGGAGCAUGAGGAGUGAUGGGCCAGGCUUCCCCAUCCCUCCGUUUGUUUACCGUUAGUCAUAUUCCGCUGCAUUUCAAACAAUGAUCACUACUUUUGCAAAACUUUGAUGAUGUUGCAAUAAUUUUAUGUACUCC